AUGUCUUUGAAAGUCAUAUUCCACCAUUUUCACUACAUUCCAUUGGAUAGCCCUUCCUCCUCUGGAGGCCCCCGUGUCAGCAAAUCGGAUGGCAGUGGAAGGUGGAGAAAUGGAAUCCUACUGGUGGCUCAGGAGGCCUGCACUGCAGAUGUCCUUGAUGAAGAGAAUGAAUGGAAGAGACUGCCAGUGUCCUCCUGGCUGCUGGUCCACAGAGUGAACAGGGUCUUCUCCAGAAGCAGGCGGAUCCUUACCAGAAAGUCCACAGCAGACCCAGGACAAAAAGAUUGUCUUUCGGAGAAUGCUGAAUCGGUGUGUUUUGACCUGGAAAAAUAUUCAAGAUAUGUUAGCUGAAAACGAGGUCAGAACUGUUCAAGUGAUUCUCCUGCUUCAGCCUCCCGAGUAGCUGGGAUUACAG
rnacentral:lncRNA from 13 species